GGAGAGAUGGCCGAGUGGUUUAAGGCGAUAGUCUUGAAAACUAUUAUAGGGGAAACUCUAUCGGGGGUUCAAAUCCCUCUCUCUCCGCCA
rnacentral:tRNA from 1 species